CUCUUCUCUUUACUAGAGAAAUCCAGAGGAUUACUUGCUGGAUCCAUGGCGACAUGGAAAUGGGGCAGCACGCAGUGCGUGGGGCGAUUGGAUUGGAGGAAUCGCCCAGGGUUUCAUCCGUAGUCAUGCUACACUGGCUAUGUGAUCUUGCACGGAUGACAUCGAGGAGGCCUACCGUCUCAUUGUUUCCACUCUGAUUUCUGUCGUUCUUACCAGGCGUGUUCAUUUCAAACUCCAAAGGUAUUUGGCUGUGCAAAAUAGGCGAGCUGUGUCAAUCAGGUUCUCCAAGGCCUGGGAGCAGGAUGGUUUUGGAUCCUAAGAGGUUUGUUUCAGCUAUGGCUUAGAUUGCCAUUGCAAUUUGAGGAGGCAGAGCUGAAGAUGUUACAUAUCUGGUAAACAUUGGUUUUGUUCGUGUUUCUUCAAUCUGUGAUUGCUUCGGGAGAGUCAGUAAACCGGUUUGUGAUUCAAUCGGGAUAUGUUUUGUACCCUUUGCGAGUAUCAUAAGAUUGUCUUUACAGUCCACCUGUACCCAACUGAGGAGUAUGGGACUCUAAACUACAUAAACUCGUAACCAGCGGGGCGUGCCGCUCGACAUCACGUAUGUUUCACUGUAUAUUCAUUCAUUAUCCGCGGCAAUCCUUUCAGAGCAUCACUCGUUGGAUUGGAGAACCGUUAAAAGGCCCGCUAUCCUCCAUUCAAGUGUAAGUGUGUAACACAAAGUAGCGAUUUCUAAUAGAGUC
rnacentral:lncRNA from 1 species